AGCUUUCUGAAUCCAUGUCGAGAUUUUGUCAAACAAUAACCUAAAAGGGAUGAUGAGACUUCCGAAAUGAGUAAAGUG
rnacentral:pre_miRNA from 1 species